rnacentral:rRNA from 1 species
AGAGUUUGAUCAUGGCUCAGAUUGAACGCUGGCGGCAGGCCUAACACAUGCAAGUCGAGCGGAUGAAGGGAGCUUGCUCCUGGAUUCAGCGGCGGACGGGUGAGUAAUGCCUAGGAAUCUGCCUGGUAGUGGGGGAUAACGUCCGGAAACGGGCGCUAAUACCGCAUACGUCCUGAGGGAGAAAGUGGGGGAUCUUCGGACCUCACGCUAUCAGAUGAGCCUAGGUCGGAUUAGCUAGUUGGUGGGGUAAAGGCCUACCAAGGCGACGAUCCGUAACUGGUCUGAGAGGAUGAUCAGUCACACUGGAACUGAGACACGGUCCAGACUCCUACGGGAGGCAGCAGUGGGGAAUAUUGGACAAUGGGCGAAAGCCUGAUCCAGCCAUGCCGCGUGUGUGAAGAAGGUCUUCGGAUUGUAAAGCACUUUAAGUUGGGAGGAAGGGCAGUAAGUUAAUACCUUGCUGUUUUGACGUUACCAACAGAAUAAGCACCGGCUAACUUCGUGCCAGCAGCCGCGGUAAUACGAAGGGUGCAAGCGUUAAUCGGAAUUACUGGGCGUAAAGCGCGCGUAGGUGGUUCAGCAAGUUGGAUGUGAAAUCCCCGGGCUCAACCUGGGAACUGCAUCCAAAACUACUGAGCUAGAGUACGGUAGAGGGUGGUGGAAUUUCCUGUGUAGCGGUGAAAUGCGUAGAUAUAGGAAGGAACACCAGUGGCGAAGGCGACCACCUGGACUGAUACUGACACUGAGGUGCGAAAGCGUGGGGAGCAAACAGGAUGAGAUACCCUGGUAGUCCACGCCGUAAACGAUGUCGACUAGCCGUUGGGAUCCUUGAGAUCUUAGUGGCGCAGCUAACGCGAUAAGUCGACCGCCUGGGGAGUACGGCCGCAAGGUUAAAACUCAAAUGAAUUGACGGGGGCCCGCACAAGCGGUGGAGCAUGUGGUUUAAUUCGAAGCAACGCGAAGAACCUUACCUGGCCUUGACAUGCUGAGAACUUUCCAGAGAUGGAUUGGUGCCUUCGGGAACUCAGACACAGGUGCUGCAUGGCUGUCGUCAGCUCGUGUCGUGAGAUGUUGGGUUAAGUCCCGUAACGAGCGCAACCCUUGUCCUUAGUUACCAGCACCUCGGGUGGGCACUCUAAGGAGACUGCCGGUGACAAACCGGAGGAAGGUGGGGAUGACGUCAAGUCGUCAUGGCCCUUACGGCCAGGGCUACACACGUGCUACAAUGGUCGGUACAAAGGGUUGCCAAGCCGCGAGGUGGAGCUAAUCCCAUAAAACCGAUCGUAGUCCGGAUCGCAGUCUGCAACUCGACUGCGUGAAGUCGGAAUCGCUAGUAAUCGUGAAUCAGAAUGUCACGGUGAAUACGUUCCCGGGCCUUGUACACACCGCCCGUCACACCAUGGGAGUGGGUUGCUCCAGAAGUAGCUAGUCUAACCGCAAGGGGGACGGUUACCACGGAGUGAUUCAUGACUG